GUGUCAGCAGCCGCGGUAAUACGGAGGAUGCAAGCGUUAUCCGGAAUGAUUGGGCGUAAAGCGUCCGCAGGUGGCAGUUCAAGUCUGCUGUUAAAGAGCAGGGCUUAACCCUGGAAAGGCAGUGGAAACUGAACAGCUAGAGUGCGGUGGGGGCAGAGGGAAUUCCUGGUGUAGCGGUGAAAUGCGUAGAGAUCAGGAAGAACACCGGUGGCGAAAGCGCUCUGCUAGGCCGCAACUGACACUCAGGGACGAAAGCUAGGGGAGCGAAUGGGAUUAGAUACCCCAGUAGUCC
rnacentral:rRNA from 1 species